GAUGGGAGCCAUACCACACUAAGUGCACUUGUUCUACUAUGAUCUAAGAAGCUAAGUAAGGUCAGGUCUGAUUUGUACUUGGAUGGAAGACUUUUAGCAUGGCUAUAAUUU
rnacentral:rRNA from 1 species